GUAAGCGCACUGGAAAGUGUGCUUGGACUAACAAAAAGUAGCUUAAGAUAAAGCAUUCAGCUUACAAUUG
rnacentral:tRNA from 1 species